UACAGAGGGGGCAAGCGUUGUUCGGAAUUACUGGGCGUAAAGGGCGCGUAGGCGGCCUGUUAAGUCGAACGUGAAAUCCCCGGGCUCAACCCGGGAACUGCGUCCGAUACUGGCAGGCUUGAAUUCGGGAGAGGGAUGUGGAAUUCCAGGUGUAGCGGUGAAAUGCGUAGAUAUCUGGAGGAACACCGGUGGCGGAAGGCGGUUCUCUGGGCCGUUACCUGACGCUGAGGAGCGAAAGCGUGGGGAGCGAACAGG
rnacentral:rRNA from 1 species